AGUCAGCCUGUGUUUUGAAGUUUCAAAGCCAGGCAUUGACUUCUCUCUAGUUAUGAGAGUCCUAA
rnacentral:miRNA from 1 species